CAGUAGCCGCGGUAAUACGUAGGGUGCAAGCGUUACUCGGAAUUACUGGGCGUAAAGCGUGCGUAGGUGGUGGUUUAAGUCCGUUGUGAAAGCCCUGGGCUCAACCUGGGAAUUGCAGUGGAUACUGGGUCACUAGAGUGUGGUAGAGGAUAGUGGAAUUUCCGGUGUAGCAGUGGAAUGCGUAGAGAUCGGAAGGAACAUCUGUGGCGAAGGCGACUAUCUGGGCCAACACUGACACUGAGGCACGAAAGCGUGGGGAGCAAACAGGAUUAGAUACCCCGGUAGUCCCUGUCUCUUAUAC
rnacentral:rRNA from 1 species